GGUAUGUUAAGAAGAGUACCAGCUGUCUAACAAAAAAAUAGUUGAAAUCUUGAGAAUCUAUUUUCAUACUUGCAUCCAAAUUUUAAUUAUUUUUUUUAUUUACUUCUUUUCUUAUUAAUCUAAGUAGUCUUUUAAUCAGCGUUCUUACUACUAUCUAAUCUAAAACUAACCAACUCAAUCGUAACUAACACGAUCCCUAUGGAUACAAUCCUAACUCACACUAUCUACAUAGUAGUGAAUUAGGUUUAUUUUUGACCACCUAUGAUAGCGAUCAAGGAGCCCCCA
rnacentral:lncRNA from 1 species